rnacentral:rRNA from 5 species
UAAAACUUUCAACAACGGAUCUCUUGGUUCCGGCAUCGAUGAAGAACGCAGCGAAAUGCGAUACGUAAUGUGAAUUGCAAAUUCAGUGAAUCAUCGAGUCUUUGAACGCACAUUGCGCCCCCUGGUAUUCCGGGGGGCAUGCCUGUCCGAGCGUCA